GCUCCGGUGGCCUAGUGGUUAGAGCAUCUGUCUCCGAUGCGGGAGAUCAUGGGUUCGAUCCUCGAUCGAGUCA